UUUUUUUUUUUAAAAACGAAUACUUUCUAAUAAUGAUUUAUUUACUUUCUAUAUAUAUUGACAUGAUAUUUCGUAAUGGCAGUGUGACAAAUUGGACCAUAAUGGCUACAAAGUCAUCACGUUUAGUUUCUCUGGUUCUCUCUUUGAUUCUUCUGCAAUUAUUUGUCUCCUCUCAAGUUUGUCUUACGGAAGCCAUACGAAUUCCAGGAAGAAUUUCACAGUCUCGCCCAAUUCCUUCUCCUUCCCGUCCCCCUCCCCCUCGUUACUAUACACCCCCUUCAAGAUCACGCCGAGGAGGUGGCCCAUAAGAUGGGUGUAUAACAUAUGUACUUGUGAUCAUUUACCUUGUAAACGUAAUUGGUCAGUUUGAUGAUUAUGUUUUAUAUUAUUUGAUCCUUAAGUCUUUGUUAGCUCGUAAUAAAAUACAUGUACCAUUCUAAAUGAAGACAUAUAAUGUCAGGAACUAUGUUACAAUAAAGGCAAUGAUAAAACUUUAAGAGAGUGUAAUGAAGAUGAAACAUUUCUUGUUGGUUUAAA